CCACUCCAACUGAUCAAUGACUACUCUUGCUCUCCAAAGACCAAUAACACAGCCUUUGAUUAUGGAAUAUCCCUUCAUGCUCUCGAAUCGGGUGUCGUCUAUUCAGAUAAUUUUCUACAAAAGAUUUCUCUCUGCUUAUGGUGGGGACUGCAAAACAUAAGCUCCUUUGGUCAAAGUCUCAAAACAAAUACCUAUGUGUGGGAGAUCUACUUUUCAAUUGUCGUUUCAAUUUCUGGCUUGGUACUGUUUGCAUUAUUUAUUGGAAAUAUACAGACGUACUUGAAUUCGAAAGCUGAAAGAGUGAAGGAAAUGAAAUCGAACGGGCAAGAGAUUGAAUUGUGGAUGGACUUUCAUUCACUUCCUAAGUGGCUUAAGACUCGGUUCAGGAAGUAUCAGAAAUAUAGAUGGCAAGAAAGGUAUCAGCCAACUCCUCAGCAUGUAUAGAGGUAUCUCUUCAGCCAACUCCUCUCAUUUCCAUGAUUGCUUGCUCAAACAAAGGUAUCAGUUGAUCGUAUCAAAGAAUUCAUCAAAGAAGAUCAAUUGAAGCUAAUUCCUGGUCAUACUUCAAAAGAAUCCAACGUCAUGAUUGUAAUUGAGACUGGAGAAUAUGCAAGGAAAACAAGCGAUCAGAAGUUAAAGAAGCCUACAAUCAAAAUUGUGGAGAAGAUAGAGAUAAUGAAAGGAUACAAGGUAGCAAAUUGUGGUUCUGUUGGUUCGGGCAAGUCAAGCUUACUAAGUGGUAUACUUGGGGAGAUUCCCAAAAUUUCUGGGGUAGGAGCAAAGGUUUAUGGGACAAAAGCUUAUGUUCCACAAAGUUCUUGGAUUCAAACUGGAACUGUAAGGGAGAAUGUGUUGUUUGGCAAGGAGAUGAUUGAGGGUUAUUAUGAGAAUGUUUUGGAGGCUUGUGCUUUGGACCAGGAUGUCAAAAUGUGGGAAGAUGGAGAUUUGACUAUAGUGGGGGAGAGAGGGAUGAACCUUAGUGGGGGAGAAAAACAAAGCAAAACCUUUACAUCCUCUGCUUGCUCUGUCUCUCAAAUAUGUCUCAUUUUCAGUACACCAUCUCUUCUUCUCAGUGUAUCUAGGAAAACCCACGUCAAUAACACUACGAAAAACCCAACAUUGACAAUUUCCAGAGAGAUCUCCAUGAAAGUUGAGUCUAAAUUCCAAAGCUUUUCUCAGUCAGAUUAGUUCUGAACCAAUCUAGAAGUCUAGAACUGAACUCAAGCAAUGACGCCUGCAUAUAUAACACACACUUUUGGUGAGUACAAUGGCAGAACCGGUUCAGAUAAACUCAUAAAGACUGGAAGAAAACCCAACCAUUAGAACAUAGCAGUAAAAACACAAUCUUUCGGAUCAGAGAAGUAGAUUCAGAACAAAAACAGAUAGUGGCAAGCUGGGAUUUAAAGAAGCAAACCUGUUGAAGUAGGCACGUGGCUUAGUGAUGAAGAAGUAUCAAAGCUCGCUGCUUUACACCUAGUGGGUCUCUAAAAUCACUGAAACAGUGCUUUGCAUUCUUGCAAAGGAACUAGCAAAUCUUAGUACUCUGGUACGUGUUGGAAUCUUCGAUAUAUCUUUAAGGAAGAUCAACAAACAUGAAAAGGCAACUGAUCUCAAACACUGAUCUUUUGCCCUUCUCACGACUGUAUCUCUCUAUGAAAUGAGUUUCUGAUUUCUGAUGAUAGUGUGAGUGCAGGGAUCAGGUUAUAUAUAG